rnacentral:lncRNA from 1 species
UUUUUGAAGGUCGGGCCGGGCCGGCCCGAAGCCCGACGGGCUUUUAUGUGCUCGGGCCGGGCUCGGACCCAGAAACACAGGCCCGAUAGCCGGGCUGGGCCAGGCCCGGGCCUGAGUUUUUUGUGUCGGGCUUGGCUAGGCCCGGCCCGAAGCCCGGCCCGGCCCGAGGUUUGGCCAGGUAUAUCCAUGGCCUCCGAGGCAGUCAUGUCAGCCUGUGGAGGCGGGUUAUCUGGCUUGUUGUGAUGCUCUUCAGGAUGUUCGGUGUUGGCCUCAGGGGUUACCAACACCUAUUCCUCUGACUCAGGGACUUGGGGUACUUGGAAGGGUUGCCAACCUUUCUCUUCUUCUCCUUGGCUUUGACCCUGUGAUCACAUUGGAGUGUCAAGACAAGUAUGACAAUAAAUUUUAAGUUAUAAAUAAAUGUAAGGAACAAUGAAGACAGGCAGCUGGGUUUGAGAUGAGCCUCUUGAAGACGGCGGCGACUCCUGAUAAUUGGAGUCAUAAGGGUUAAGAGGAUGUCUCAUAAGACCAGCUUUGGGUAAAGAGGAAGUUGGACUGUGUGGCACCUCAGCGGGCCGUUUACAGGCGGAAGGUUCAUGAGUUAACUUGGCCAUUAAGUCGCCUGAGCCGCCACUUCGAGUCUGGCGUCUUGACUCAUGCUGAGUUUUCUUCAAAAUAAAAUAUGGAUCUAAGUGAGCAUCUGGAUGAGAAAACUUUACUUUUCGGACAACCCGCCGUAUUUUUUUCAGAAGGUGCGUGGUCUGAGCUAGAAGAGACAAGAAUUACCUCAAUAUCGUCAGCCGGCUUGUGGCAACCUCAUCCUGAGAAUAAGAGGUGUUAGCUAAUUCAAUAAAGAGUCGGCCAAGAGAGUCGAGUUCUACCUCUGAUUGCUUGUCAGCGUCAGCUGACUCGCCCACAGCAACCAGCUCAGCUGGAGCAGCUGCCUUGUUCUUCUUUGACUUUGGGCCAGUCCUGACCUUGGCCAUAGCAGUCUUUAUCUUUCUUUUCCAAAAAGCAGAGUCGGGUUGUGUAAUGAAGAGGGAAUUAACAAAUAAGAUGCAGAAUAAGUCAAGGAUAUUUAAGCUAGACAUAAACUAGUACUUACAGGUGGGGCCGGGUUGAGCUUGAAGAAUGGUAGCAGUCCAGUCUUAUUACAAUUUUCUUUAGACUCCCCAAAGCAUAGAGUUCACAGUUUGAAAUAUCUCCUCAGCAAUAAAGUUAUCGGAGCUGUACCGUUGAGGGUCAUCUGACUCGCCUGAAUAUUCACAUAUUAAGCUGAGGCGACGGCUUAAGGGAAGAAUUCUCCAUGAGGCCCAGUAACGGGCUAAGUCAACUCCAGUUAACCCAUUGGCUAAUAAAGUCGUUAUCUCUGGAUAAUAUUGAAAUGCUUCAAUAUGUUCAUCUGGCAGAAGCUUUCUUUGGGGGUCAAAAUUGAUAGGAAGGCCAUUAGCCCUAUAAUCCGGCAGAGGGUUCUCAUUAGCUGGGGCAGUGUUCUUGCAACAAAACCAUGUCUUUAUCCAUCCUUUGGGGUGGCUACAUGAAAGCCACCGUCUCUGCGUCGCUGGAUUGAGACCCCGCCUAAUUCUUGACUCGGGCCAUUGGUACAUUCAGUUUGGCGGUUUAUGUAGAAGAAUUCCUUGAAGAGAGCAAUAGCGGGCCCUACUUUCCAAUAAGCUUCACAGAAAAAUUGAAAGUGGCAAAGGUUCGUCACUGAAUUUGGGCAUAUAUCUUGAGGAUGAAGAUUGAAAUAGUGCAAGGCGUCCUGAAAAAACUUUGACCCAGGUGGUGUAAAGCCUCUAAGGAUAUGGUGAGUAAAAACUAUCACUUCUCCUUCACCAGGAUUGGGAAUAUUUUCUCCUUGGAUAACUUGCCAGCCAAUCUCUUCUUGAGUCGCCAAGAGACCUCGGCCCACAUAAUCCUUAAGGAUUUCUUCAGUGACUAGGGAAGGGCCCCAGUUAGAGAGAGUGGUUUUUGUCAUAUUGAGUCACCUAAGGAGGAUGGAAGCUGCAGAAUAAGAGUAUGUCACGUUACUUGAGAAGUAACGAUUCAUCAUCAUCAUAACCCAAGUCCGGCAGUUUAAAGAUAAGUCGCCAUAAAUAAUGGCGGGUUGUGUAAAAAAAUAUUCAGUCUCUACAACACUGGCGGAUUAUGAAUUGUUGGGGAACGUAGUAAUUUAAAAAAUUUCCUACAAUCACGCAAGAUCUAUAUAGGAGAUGCAUAGAAACGAGACGGGAGAGUGUGUCCACGUACUCUCGUAGAACGAAAGCAGAAGCGUUUAGUUAACGCGGUUGAUGUAGUCGAAUGUCUUCACAAUCCAACCGAUCCAAGUACCAAACGUACGGCACCUCCUCGUUCAGCACACGUUCAGCCCGAUAACGUCCAUCAAGCUAUUGAUCUAGUUGAGGACGAGGAAGAGCUCCGUCAGCACAAUGGCGUGGCGACGGUAUUGAUGAUGUUAUCGGUGCAGGGCUUCGCCUAAGCACUACGACGAUAUUACCGAGGUGUUAAACUAUGGAGGGAGGCACCGCACAUGGCUAAGAGAACAACUGGUGUGCUAUGGGGUGCCCCCUGCCCCCGUAUAUAAAGGAGGGAGGAGGAGGAGGCCGGCCAAGGGAAGGCGCGCCAGGGGGGGGAGUCCUACUAGGACUCCAAACCUAGUAGGAUUCGCCCCCACCAACUUUUCCUAGUCCAAAAGGGGGAAGGACAGAAGGAGAGGGAGAGGGGAAGGAAAGAGGGGGCCGCGCCCCCUCUCCCUAGUCCAAUUCGGACUGCUAAGGGGAGGGGCGCGCGCCACCUUCUGGCCUUCCCUCUCCUACUCCCUUAUGGCCCAUCUAGGCCCAUAACUUCCCCGGGGGGUUCCGGUAACCCCUCGGUUCCCCGAAAAAUGCACGAACUCUUCCGAAACCUUUCCGGUGUUCAAACAUAGUCUUUCAAUAUAUCAAUCUUUAUGUCUCGACCAUUUCGAGACUCCUCGUCACGUUCGUGAUCUCAUCCAGGACUCCAAACAAACUUCGAUCAUCAAAAACACAUAACUCAUAAUACAAAUCAUCAUCGAAUGUUAAGCGUGCGGACCCUACGGGUUCGAGAACUAUGUAGACAUGAUCGAGACACAUCUCUGAUCAAUAACCAAUAGCGGAACCUUGAUGCUCGUAUUGGCUCCUACAUAUUCUACGAAGAUCUUUAUCGGUCAAACCGCAUAACAACAUACGUUGUUCCCUUUGUCACCGGUAUGUUACUUGUCCGAGAUUCGAUCGUCAGAUCAUCAUACCUAGUUCAAUCUCGUUACCGGCAAGUCUCUUUACUCGUUCCGUAAUUCUUCAACCCGCAACUGACUCAUUAGUCAUAUUGCUUGCAAGGCUUAUAGUGAUGAGCAUUACCGAGAGGGCCCAGAGAAACCUCUCUGAUACACGCAGUGACAAAUCAUAUUCUCGAUCUAUGCCAACCCAAUAAACACCUUCGGAGACACCUGUAGAGCAUAUUUAUAAUCACCCAGUUACGUUGUGACGUUUGAUAGCACUCAAGGUGUUCCUCCGGUAUUCGGAAGUUGCAUAAUCUCAUAGUCUGAGGAACAUGUACAUGUCAUGAAGAAAGCAGUAGUAAUGAAACUGUAACGAUUAUAAUGCUAAGCUAACGGAUUGGUCUUGUCUAUCACAUCAUUCUCGUAAUGAUGUGAUCCCGUUCAUCAAAUGACAACACAUGUCUAUAUGGUUAGGAAACAUAACCAUCUUUGAUUAACGAGCUAGUAUAGUAGAGGCAUACUAGGGACACUAUGUUUUGUCUAUGUAUUCACACAUGUACUAAGUUUCCGAUUAAUACAAUUCUAGCAUGAAUAAUAAACAUUUAUCAUGAUAUAAGGAAAUAUAAAUAACAACUUUAUUAUUGCCUCUAGGGCAUAUUUCCUUCAUGAAUAUAUUGGUAAGUCGCCCAAAGAUGCAGAGGCAGGUCAUCUAAAGUUUAGAAUUGUUGGAAAUUCUGCUAAGUGUGGAGCAAAAAAGUUUCACAAUCAAACAACUAUAUUUAUGGAUCUAUGGACAGUUCAAAAAAGAAAAAUAAUUGCUAAACGUAAGAGGUGGUGACGGAAAAACUAGCAGACAACCUAUUGAUUCUAAAAGGUAUACAAGUCGUUGAAGGUAUAAGACGGUGCCAAAACUACUACCGCAAUAUUUCUAUGGUGUUUUUCCGGAUCAAAAACAAUUUCUAUUCAAAGAUAUGUUGAUCUGGAAGGGGAUGAAUGCCGAUGAACUCCAGGUGACCUAAUGUAGAUCUAAGAAAGAAGAAGGAUGGUACCUGAGGGCGGCGGAGGAAAGCGGAGGCGCGCCGUUGUGUCCUGACGACGAGGAGGAGGUAUGGCGACCUCGAGCAAAGAAGGCUGGCGCGCAUUGACGGGCGCGGCAGAGCUCCAGUUGCGAAGGGACUCAGGAGGAGGAAGGAGAAGUGAAGAAUACGCGGUAAAAGGCAAAAGGAGGGCCCUCGUGCCUGUUUAUAAGGGAAAGUAACAGUAAAUGGCUAGUGCGAGGAUCGAGGAGGCACAAUAAAUUUUACAGGAAAGGGACGCCUCCAAUUUUGGAAUGAUUGAUUUAUACAAAGAUUCGUUAUGAUGUCAUGAAGGGUUUUCCGAAAUCACGGAGGUGACAUCAUCUCUUUAUGGCGGGUUAUGAAGACUUUUCAAGACCGCAAUGAAGAGAAGUAAAAGGAUGACUCGCUAGACGGAAGAUAUUAGUUGACAUGAAUAAGUUCAAAUCAAUCUGGGGCCUAAUGUUGGGGAUAUGACCCCACGAUAUAACACGCCCAGGAAGGGCCGGGUUAGACCGUUGGUGACUCACGGAGUCAAGGCUUCAGACGCGCCCAAGUACCCAAGGGGCAACUCACAAGAUGGGCCGAUUUAAAUCCCAAGGCCUAAAGACGAUGUGUGGCCCAUAGGCGUAAGCCGCCUUAUGAUGACUUGCCUUAUAAGGCGAGGUGAUUUAGAAUAUGGUCACGGGUUGUAACUCGACCCGGACUCUUGUAAGCCGGUGGCCUCGACCUGUAUCUAAAGGCGUGUCCCAGGCAUAGAAUAGACAGGUAACAAUCAAUCGAUAGCUAGGUCAAGCGGAAUCGCUCCCUUGUAAUUGAUACUCAAACAAUAAGCAACAAGAGUAAGAGUAGGCUUUUACCUCCACCGUGAGGAACCUGUGUAAACUUGUGUCUCUUGUCCCGCUCAAUCCCGACAAGCUAAUCACCGUUGCGAUGGCUUCACGCUUAAGUCCUUUCACUAAUCAUCUGCCGUGACAAAACCAUGACAUAUACGACCAUUUUAUUUAACUGAAACAAAGUGACCCAAGGUCUGUAAUCCAGUAAGCGGGUUGGCGGGGCUGGGCGCGACCUAGCCGUUGCAGGCGAUGACGCUGGUGUUGUGGCGCUUGGCCUCGUUGGGGAGGUUGAAGACCGCGCGCACGGCGGCCUUCAUCUCGGCCUGCAGCGCCGCGGGCACGCCGACUCCUCCGCCCGCGCACCGGCGAGCCACAGGUCGACCAGCGGGAUCUCCACCAUCUGCGCUGCCUUACUAGUUGGCCGGUCUCGUUGACUUGCGUGGGGGAUCGAUCUCCACGGCGUUUUAGUAUUUAGAGGCCGGCGGCCGGUCGUGAAAAGGGACGCUGGGGGCAGGCCGGCCGCUUGUCGGGACGACCGCACUCACACCGCCGGCAAGGAGGUACGAACAAGCUUCCGUGUACUGGGAUUGGCGAGACGAUCAGUCGAUACAUAUCGGUGUAGGUCAAACGCUGCCAUUUCUGUCAUGUUGCUGGACUGUCUCAUGCACGAUUUUGUCACAUUUUUUAAAAGCAUUUAAGGUUUAAUCAUUUACAAAGCUCAUGAAACGGCACGGUAAAACAUAAAAGUACUACUAGCUAGGUGUCAGUGCGUUACUACAGGAUGAAAUUAUAUUUCAAGAAUGAUGGCUUGUGACCGAUUGCCCUCGGUCGUUGACUAUGUUGUGCGGACAUUGGUGGCUAAUUAUUCUAGGUGCAUAUGAAGCGAUAGAUUAUGGGCUGUUCUUGAAAGAAUCUCCACUAUUCCUUGGCAACAAUGUCAUUACCAAAUACUCUCUGAAGAUGAAACAAUGGUGGAUCUUUCUGACAUAACACCCAUAAUUAGAAACAUAAUUCUUAUAUAUAAAAGGCUCUAAGUUAUUUUUCUGGUCUCCCUUUUUGACGAUCAGCCAGUUGAAUAGUUGAAAGCAAUAAUUUCAUUUAAAAAAAAUUAUUAGUACUCUCGUCAUUUAUCCUUGCUCUAGCAUUGCGGGCACCUUCUAAAUUUUUAAUAGAUAUAUGAAAUGGUCUUCGUGUACCGCUAGAUAUGAUGAGGUAUUGCAUGUCUGAAUUAACUAAUGAAAUCAUUCUCACCUACCACGAGCGUGUGUUGUAUUAAAUUUCUGAUUUACCAAUAAUGAAAGAUGCAUGUACUGCAGUACCCCUCCCCCCAUACAUAUAUAUCUGAAAAAUGAGACUAAAACAAAGGGGUGAUCAUAAAUACAGUAGAUAACAAAAGGAAAAAUGAACUCAUACAAUAUUAUAAUCAGUUAAAUCCUAUCCAAAUGCAAUGGCAACUCUUAACACAAAAAGUGAAAUAAAUCAACUAAUCAAAAGAUUCUCCAUGUUAUCUAUCUUGCUAUUGUUGCUCGUUUGAGUUACAAAGAGUAUUUAUAAAUGAAUGGAGGCACUUUCGAUCCUAUAUAUAUCUUCUAGGCAACCUGAUCAACGUUGUACUCAGUGGCAUCUCCCUCCUCUAACAACUAAGCUUAUGCCGUACUUUACUUCCCAUGUCCUUUGUUCAAGUUCAAAAAUUGGCAUAUAUUUUUCAUUACAUGGACUACUAAUUUCUCUUGUCCUAUAAAAGUUGAAUGCCUUCAAGCUGUCAACACGUGCCCAUAAAGGCUAUAUGUGGACAGAAUGUACUGGCACAUUAUGAAAUACUCCCUCCGUUCCUAAAUAUUUUUCUUUUAGAGCUUUUAAAUGGACAACCACAUACAGAUGUAUAUAGACAUAUUUUAGAAUGUAGAUUCACUCAUUUUACUCUGUAUGUAGUCACUUGUUGAAAUCUCUAGAAAGACAAUUAUUUAGGAACGGAGGGAGUAGUUACCUGCACAAACCAAGAAUCUUAGGCACCUCUAUGCUCUAGCAAAUCAGUGAUCGGGGCCCUAGGGAGGCGGGUUUGCACCGAACCAGAUAAAGGAUUAUCAGGUUUAGUUUUGCAAUAGCAUAGACCUGCAGAUACUCCCUUUCUUCUUGCAUGUCCCAGAUAUUUAUUAAGAAAUAUAUUAAGAGGUUCAUAUGACAAAUCAGCUGAUUGAAGAACAAUGCCAGGAGGGCUAAUUCAGCAAAUAUAAAUCUCCAUGACAUCGUGAAUCCGAGCAUUCUUGCUCCUGCUUCUUGUACACGUCUGUAUAGAUUUGAUCAUAUCCUACGCUUUCCUUGUGAUAAUAAUAGGGUGAAAAUAGGAAUCAUUCUAGGUAAAAAUAAUAAUUACAAAUUACUCUGCACCUGCUAUAAUUCAACCACGCUCCCGCAAUAAACGGAAAACUCCCCAAAGGGAAGACGUGGCAUCACCACAUGGGAGACUCCAACUCCGGUAGGUAGAGUUUGGUGCACGUCUCUCUCUUUACUACGACAAUAGAAAUUGCAAGCUACUUUGGUGCCAAUGUAUUUACUUUGUUAAAGCUCAACUAUAGGUUGAUGCUCUAAUAUUGAGUUGAACUUAUGUAAUUUAUUGUUUUUGUUGUUUCCGUUGUCCUAAAGGGACUUCCAAACUUCCAUUCAUCAUAAGUCUCAACUUUUGCAGAAGAUUGACAAGGCCCAAUGUGUAAUGAGCUUCCUAAAGAAUCAAAGGAAAACAAACACUCACAUGAUGCAUUUGGAAUUCCUAGUAGCAACUGAAUAAGAAUGAAAUUAAAUUGAGCCAAAAAUAAAGUGGGCUUCCAGAGACCACAAAACAUGUUUAUGCACUAAAAUAGGAAAAGGAACUGCGGACAUACACAGCAAGACCAACAAGUGUAGUUUCCAUUUCUGCACUUCCUGUGAAAUUCUUGGUGCAUAGUGCAAUACUGUGUAAUCCAGCCAGCAAAACUUGAAGGAAAGCAGUAGUAAGACCUGAACUAAUUGUGAUGGCAUAUUAUGCCAACUUUGCAUAUGCCCACAUCGCCAUCAUUUUCAAAUCACUGAUAUAUCCCAAGCCUAUAAAAACUCAAAACAAACCCUACUGUUUCAAACAUGACAAAUAAAUUCUAGCAUAUUUGUCACUCAAGGAAGAAUGACAAAGAAAUAGUACUGGUCUAUUGUCACUCAAGGAGGAAGCCCGUGUCUACCACAAUGCAUUGCAGUUUUUUGUUGUUGCAUCUUAUAGUUGGCAGCACAUUGGGGGAGGCCCAAACCCUAUCAAGCGGGGAGAUGUGUGAUGUGCGGGAUGCUUCUUAAGGGAGGGACACUUUUGGGGUUUCUGACCACAUGGUCCCGACCCUAUUAAUCACUUGUCAGAGCUAUAAACCGGCCCAUAUGACUAAUAGCAAAGAUUAGGCACAAUCUUAGUGGUUACCUACCUAGUAAAGAUUAAUCGGCCCAUAAAUCGUUGACUCAACCGAUAUUUUCAAAAUUGGUAUUGGGAGCAACGAUGAGUCAUGACAACUCAACUAGCAAGAAUGGAGAUUAAUUUGUCUUUAAACUUUGCAUACCAAUGGGUCAAAUGAUGACAGUCCAAACUAACCCAUUCGUCUCGGAAGCAAGAUAACUUAACUAUCUCGCAUUACGUGGUGUGACACGAAAUGCAACUGUCUGCAAUCCCAAGAACUUAAUCACCUUACCAUCUUCCCGAAAUGCUCAACAUCUACGUGCAUCCACAUGGUAUGAUUUAGGAUGAAUACGCAACCCCUGCCAAAAUUUCACCGAUUAACAACGCCUUAUUACAAAUCCGGUUGACCUAACAAGCCGCAACAGUUCUGAGAUAACUCGAAUCGCCUAUGUUGUGUUGUGAAUCUGCAGUGUCUCAAAACCUGACAGGAACAAUUUCUACAAUCAACUGGAACUUAGACAUAAGAUAAUCUCAAGCGAAUUAGAUAUCACAAAACUAUUAAAAUUGUUCUUUCAUGGAGUGUUACUUUUUUUUCAGCUUACGACAUACAAAAAGUCUAUAUUACAAGAAUGUUUACAAGCAUGUAAAAGACAUGAGUUCCGUGUUAGCGUUGUUCUUCUAAAGUUUUUGACACUUUUUUUAUGGAUUUACUAUUCAUGCUUGCAGCGGAUGACUCUCUUAAUAUCAGAGUACUUAAUUUCUUCAAAACAACUUAUAAUGUCCUGGGUCUAAAAUAAUGCCAAACUGCAUUGGAUCUUAUGUUGAUCUAGUUGUCAAGAUGAAUUACUCAAUUGGCAUAUUGACCAACCUGAGUCUUAACACUUCUUCAGCACCACCACCUUUCUUGUGCAAAAUCUCCCGCAGUCAGCUUUAAUGGGUGGGCAAUGUUUUGUGUGAAAUUCUAAGUCAGCUAAGUUAACUUUCCUAACUUUUGUUCAUUGUUUCUGAGAUAAAAAAAAGACGUAUCAUAAUUAGAACUCAAAUAAGAUGUUUCAUAAUUAAGGGACUCUGGACCUACAUACACCACAAGCCUCCACUUCCACUCUUGGCUGCUACUCUCUCUGCUCGUAAAUAUAAGUCAUUUUAGAGAUUGCAAUGUGAACUAUAUACAAAACAAAAUGAGUGAAUCUACACUCUAAAAUAAGUCUAUACACAUCGGUAUGUAGUUCAUAUUGAAAUCCAUAAAAAGACUUAUAUUUAGGAACGGAGGAAGUACAAGAUUUACAAGGCCGAAAAUAUAAUGAGUUGUCCUGAAGGCUUGAAGCUAAACACUACGAGGUGAAAGAUUCCGUACAACAAUCUUGCUGUGAUCACAUAUUAUGGCAACUUUGCAUAUGUGCACGUCCCCAAAAUUUCAAAAUGCCUGAUACAUCCCAAACCUACAACUCAAUACAAGCCCUACUUAUUUCAGACAUGGCAACUUGCAAUUUUAACUCGCAACUUGCACCAUUGCAAUGCAAGGUUUUGCUGCUUUUAUAGCUGUUUGGUUCACAGUGACUUGAUUUGAAUUGGUCCACGUGAGACUCCCUCUCCACAGUAAAUGCCCAGCUUUAUAAAAUAGUGAAAGUUGGAAGAAAAAUUUGUACUCCCUUCAAUCCAUAUUAAUUGUCACAGCUUUAGUACAAUCAGUCAGUGAUGAAAAAACAUAAGCGGCGAAGAACACAGAUAGGCGGCACAAAACAGAGCCAUGCUAACAGCAGCGUAGUGAGAAACAGCAUACCAAAACAAUUCGCCAAAGCCAGAAAAAUAGACAGGAGACCUAAAAACGAAGGGCAGUCAGCGCAUCAUAAGCAUAAGUACGACAGCAAUUCUAAUCAGACCAAGAACCAAAAUACCAUGCAUAAAGAACAUUUUACUUGUCGAUUAGAUCUGGAGAAAGUAGUUGACACAAUAGCAAAACAUAUGCUUCAUAGCCCAUAGGGUUAUAACCAGAAAAUUAAAGAUAAUACAUUCUUCUUGUGGGAAGUUCUGGCACAACAUUCUAAACAUAACAGCGAUAUCAUCAGCUUAGAAGAGAGAUGUUCCCUUGCCCUUCUUGUCUCCACCGAUUUCAAAGUGCUUGCACCU